AAUCAACGCUGGCGGCGUGCCUAACACAUGCAAGUCGCACGAGAAAGGGUAGCAAUACCUGAGUAAAGUGGCGCACGGGUGAGUAACACGUGACUAACCUACCUCCGAGUGGGGAAUAACUUCGGGAAACCGAGGCUAAUACCGCAUAACACUUACGAGUCAAAGCAGCAAUGCGCUUGGAGAGGGGGUCGCGGCAGAUUAGCUAGUUGGCGGGGUAAUGGCCCACCAAGGCGAUGAUCUGUAUCCGGCCUGAGAGGGCGCACGGACACACUGGAACUGAAACACGGUCCAGACUCCUACGGGAGGCAGCAGUGGGGAAUUUUGCGCAAUGGGGGAAACCCUGACGCAGCAACGCCGCGUGGAGGAUGAAGUCUCUUGGG
rnacentral:rRNA from 1 species